CAUAUUAUUUAAUGCAUAUAGGUGUUCACAUCCCACUAUAUACACAACAUUCUCUUACUCAGGCUCAAGCUCGGUUUAAGGUGGAGGGGGCUGGUUGUCUGGGCUAACAGUAUUCUCUUUUUUUUUUUUUUUUACAGUGUGUUCGUUACCUUUUGUAAGUAAUCCACAAUUUAUCUUUAUUUAAUCCGCAAUCACAAUGUAAAAAGCGUGUUGUCAACUAAAGAACAAAUAGUGACAUAAACCACGUUCAAGAUGAACUUAGGAGCCGACACAUAUGGUAAUAACAAUUCUUGUUCGAGGCUUUUUAUUUGAACAUGUGGAAAUAAUGCAUUCAAACCUAAUUAUUGUCUCGAGGUAAUAAAAAUCUCUAAGUAUGACAAUUGAGUGUGAUGAAUUUUAAGAUAUGUAUGUCAGUUAAUGAAAUGAAAACUGUAUCUAAUGUUCUGCGAACAUAUUUUACAUUUUUCAUUUCAUUCUUUCGUAACAUUGAAUUUUUGUAAUCAUACGAUAUUAAUGUUACUAAUUGAUAUGUAAUUGAGAAUACUUAGACCAAAACUUCUGUCUUUUUGCAAUUCAUACACAAGUUUAGCAUUUGAUGAGCUGCUCUGCCCUUUUUUUUUCUUUUUUCUAACUAUUCUCAAAUCAAACGCGGAUAAUUACUUACAUUUGUUUCAAUUUUUCAAUUUUGUCUAUUCAUGGAAAAAUCAGUUGUCCAUAAUUUGGACAAUGACUGGACUGAAAUCUCGCAGGUAAAGGUAGAGCUUGUACAGCGUCCAGAGGAGAAACGAGCGAAGUACGAAAAAGGUUCUUCCUCUACUGCUCGUGAAGAAAAUUACGAGCAAUAAUUGGUUCAUGAACCGCCGAUUCGACAAGUCUUGCUACAAUUGAGAAAAGAAAAAUAGAAGAAAGAAGAGGAAUAUUCGUAAUCACUGUUACGGCUAGAGCGAUUCCUGAUUUUCGUAGUGCAGUAUAUA